CUUGCGUCCACUACCAUUACCAAACUUCUUAUCGUUAUAAACCUCAACUUCAAGCUCUUCAAACUCCAUGUUAUCCGGGUCGGAAACGAUGAACUCAAGCGACUCGUUCCAAACCGGGUUCAGCUCCUUGAAGCGGGUGGUGGUUCGUUUUCUCUGUCCAUCGAAAUCAGCAACGACGUAAGGGCUUGAACUUCCUUGGCCAUCUUUAGGAAGUAGGUUGCGUGCGUCUAUAACUUCCACCACCAAUCUUCUCACCGUUUGCGGUCCCUGUUGAAACGGCGUCGUCAUGUUCAUGUUCAUAUUCUCAUCAUUUUUUCUGUUUACAAUUGAACAAUAACAGUGGCCGUUGAUAGCGGGAAGGAAGGUUUCCCAAGAGGUGAGUUUGUUGUGGGCAGAUUGGAUUCCAUGCUCUCUCGCGAAGGAUUGAUUUCUUUCCAAACUUUUUUCAAUUCCCUCCACUACCGGCAUGGAAGAUGUAAGCCUUAGUAAUAGGCCAAAUUCUUCAAUGAAAACUAAAAGCCUCAGCAGGA